UACCUCUGAGAUAGGUCCCAAUAUUAAUUUUCUUCUUUUUCUUAUGUAAAUAUUUAUUCUUUGUUUAUAUUUUGUCUUUUUUGUAAAUAAUUAUCCCCUUACUAUAAAAGUUGUAAAUACUUGUAUAUAACUAUUCCCUUACUAUAAAAUAUGAAAUCUGUAAAUAAAAUUUGAAUUCAAAUUCCCUCCCAUAAAACCCUACAUCGUCAUUCCUUCCUCCUUGCACUAAAAUAACAUGGCGCACAUUACCAACUGCGCAAAAACAAACCGCUCCCGGGAAAUGUUCCGCGGACAUAGAUUUUGCAGCAUCAUGAAAUUGCUUAAAAGCCAAUGUUGGUGAAGGCAAAAGCCUCUUUUCGGAACAAAGUUUCAAGUGUUGUGCGACGCGAGUGGUCCAAAGUUACAGCCCUCGCGGGGUUUUGACCAGUGAUAAUUGUACCGAUUAAUCAGCCCUGGAACGUACCGACGAAACCGCCUACCACCCCUCAACCGUUCGCGACGAAAGGCCGUUCGCUACCCCUCGCCCGUCAAGAAGUGCGCCCGGUGCCCAGCUCGAGUCGACAUUGAAUCGGGUCAUCACGGAGUGUUCGAACGGCGAUUCGUCCGACAAGACCCCCAGCAGUUGGCAACCGGCAAAUGAUCCGCCAUCCGGCGCCAGGUGAUGUGCAGUGCAAAAAAUCCCAAAUAACCCUAUUCCCAUUUCCCGUAAAUUACUAAAUAAACUAAACAAAUGAAUUCGAAUUUUAUAAUCA